rnacentral:rRNA from 1 species
UACGUAGGGUGCGAGCGUUGUCCGGAAUUAUUGGGCGUAAAGAGCUUGUAGGCGGUUUGUCGCGUCUGCUGUGAAAUUUCGGGGCUCAACCCCGAACUUGCAGUGGGUACGGGCAGACUAGAGUGUGGUAGGGGAGACUGGAAUUCCUGGUGUAGCGGUGAAAUGCGCAGAUAUCAGGAGGAACACCGAUGGCGAAGGCAGGUCUCUGGGCCAUAACUGACGCUGAGAAGCGAAAAGCAUGGGGAGCGAAACAGG